rnacentral:misc_RNA from 1 species
AAAAACUCGGGACAGAGUAUAAGUAUAUAUUACAUACAUGUACUCUUAGCGUACUCUUUAGACAUUGAAUUCAUAUUUGUGUGAUGAACAGUUAAGCUCUUGCACCACAUACAGAUGAAAAUAUUUAACAGUAACAGGAAUUUUAUCCUUAAUCCAAAAAUUAUUCAUUUUCAUUAGAUUCAAAAUGAAAUGUAUAGCAAACUAAUCUAAAAGAAUGAAGUGUCACUGAUCCAAAUUGAAUGCCAGCAAGUGAUCUCAUAACAGAAAUAGUGAAGUUAUUAAAACACGAUUCUUAAAGUCAAUCCACAUGGCUUGACUUUGCAAUAGACAUUUAGCUCUCAAGGCAAGGACAAAUGUCAUCAUUGUUGUGAAUUUAAUCAUUAAAGAAGACCAGUUUUACAAACAAUUGUGAACAGUAUCAUAUGAAGUGCACAUUAUCAUGCAGAUAUACAAUGUUUUUAUUUUGGUUUUCAUGUGUUGAAGAUAAACGGUUAUAUUUA